rnacentral:misc_RNA from 1 species
GCUCUGAGUGAGAAUGUUAAAAUCCAGUGAGAAUGUUACCACUCCCCUUAUUGAGUAAUUCCUUAAAGAAAAUUUAUGCUUAAAUAAAUUCUUCUAAGAGCGUUUUAAAAAGCUUAGAGAAGCUUCUGUUUUAAAAGUAUGGCGUUUUUAUAAAGCAAGACAUGAGGGCAUUUAGAACUGUUUUAGGGGCCGUAGCUCAGCUGGGAA